rnacentral:rRNA from 1 species
AACGCGAAGAACCUUACCAAGGUUUGACAUGCAGGGAAAAGCCGUAGAGAUACGGUGUCCGUAAGGGUCCUGCACAGGUGGUGCAUGGCUGUCGUCAGCUCGUGUCGUGAGAUGUUGGGUUAAGUCCCGCAACGAGCGCAACCCUCGUCCUAUGUUGCCAGCGGGUAAUGCCGGGGACUCAUAGGAGACUGCCGGGGUCAACUCGGAGGAAGGUGGGGAUGACGUCAAGUCCUCAUGCCCCUUAUAUCUUGGGCUGCAAACAUGCUACAAUGGCCAGUACAGAGGGCUGCGAGACCGCAAGGUGGAGCGAAUCUCAAAAAGCUGGUCUCAGUUCGGAUUGGGGUCUGCAACUCGACCCCAUGAAGUCGGAGUCGCUAGUAAUCGCGAAUCAGCAACGUCGCGGUGAAUACGUUCCCGGGCCUUGUA